UUCUCCCAAGUGGCAUCUUCUAUUGGUAGGUUCGCCCACUGUAUUAGCACUUCAUUAGUGGGUCAUCGUCGUCGAGUCACGAUCCGUCGAUCAAUAAUGGCACUUGGCUGGGUCUGGAGUUCUCUUUGGGUGGUCAUAUUUGGUGGGUGGCUUUGGGCUGUCUCCAAGCACCUAUUUAAAACUUCCGUCUAGCUGUUGGUUUGUGAGUGAUAUGUCGUACUCCUUUUCAAUUUAGUACCCUGCAUAUGGAAUAACUUUG
rnacentral:lncRNA from 1 species